rnacentral:rRNA from 1 species
CANUCAAGGCGACGACGGGUAGCCGACCUGAGAGGGUGACCGGCCACACUGGGACUGAGACACGGCCCAGACUCCUACGGGAGGCAGCAGUGGGGAAUAUUGCACAAUGGGCGAAAGCCUGAUGCAGCGACGCCGCGUGCGGGAUGACGGCCUUCGGGUUGUAAACCGCUUUUGACAGGGACGAAGCGCAAGUGACUGUACCUGUAGAAUAAGGACCGGCCAACUACGUGCCAGCAGCCGCGGUAAUACGUAGGGUCCGAGCGUUGUCCGGAAUUACUGGGCGUAAAGAGCUUGUAGGCGGUUCGUCGCGUCGUUUGUGAAAACUUGGGGCUCAACCUUAAGCUUGCAGGCGAUACGGGCGGACUAGAGUACUUCAGGGGAGACUGGAAUUCCUGGUGUAGCGGUGAAAUGCGCAGAUAUCAGGAGGAACACCGGUGGCGAAGGCGGGUCUCUGGGAAGUAACUGACGCUGAGAAGCGAAAGCAUGGGUAGCUAUCAGGAUUAGAUACCCUGGUAGUCCAUGCCGUAAACGGUGGGUACUAGGUGUGGGGCUCCUUCCACGAUACUCCNGAUGCCGUAGCAUGANACGCAUUAAG